rnacentral:rRNA from 1 species
CACGUAGGCACCAAGCGUUGUCCGGAUUUAUUGGGCGUAAAGAGCUCGUAGGCGGUUCGGUAAGUCGGGUGUGAAAACUUUGGGCUCAACCCAAAGCCUGCACUCGAUACUGCUGUGACUUGAGUCCGGUAGGGGGAGUGGGGAAUUCCUGGUGUAGCGGUGGAAUGCGCAGAUAUCAGGAGGAACACCGGUGGCGAAGGCGCCACUCUGGGCCGGUACUGACGCUGAGGAGCGAAAGCGUGGGGAGCGAACAGG